UUCCGUGUGCAAGUCCGCUAUGGCUCGAAAUUCUUUCAAAAUAUCUUCCUUCACUUUUGGUGUUAAUUGUUGUGCAUCGACCGUUACUACAUGAAGAAAAAGUGAAUAGGAUAGGUUAAUGCCACCUCAACGUUAUUUCAUUGACAGAGUGAAACAACGUAACGUUGAAUACUAACUUACUCCUUUUAGUAUCCAUGGUAUUGGUUAUAUUAAAAAAGUCACUGUGGGACUCGAUCCCCGGUGUUUCUUGUUUAAAUAGCUCAAGUUCCAUUUGAUAGUCUUUCCAGAAACUUUGUUCAGAAAGAAUGCCUUUCUCAACUAAUUGCUGUCUCCAUGAAAAAAUAUUUCACAAGAACAUUCAAAAUUUGUUAUAUUUAAAACAUUAGAAUAUGGAUUGUACAAGACAUUGUUUUUCACUAACUUGGUAAGACUUAUUAAGUCGUACAGGACAAGUCUUGUGUUUCAGUUGUUUUGUUUGAUAGGGACUCUUUUUUGUCACUUGUCGUCGAAUAAAACGCAGAUCAAGGCGUGGCUUUUCAUCAUCGCGAAAAACAAAAGUGACAUCUUCCACUCCAUUUUCUGUUGUGAAACGUAAUUGAAUCAUGGGUUGUUUU